CUAAUCAGUCCGAUAGAAUGUUGAAUACACUAGUUUCCUAUCGAUCACUGACGCUAAGCAACGUUCUGCUUGGUUGCUAUCCCGGAUGGGUGACCAUCUGGCUAAUCACGUGCUGCUGAGC
rnacentral:rRNA from 1 species